UAGCAAUACGGGAGCGGCAGACGGGAGGGUAACACGUGGGAACGCGCCCUUCGGUUCGGAAUAACUCAGGGAAACUUGAGCUAAUACCGGAUACGCCCUUACGGGGAAAGAUUUAUUGCCGAAGGAACGGCCCGCGUCCGAUUAGCUUGUUGGUGAGGUAAUGGCUCACCAAGGCGACGAUCGGUAGCUGGUCUGAGAGGAUGACCAGCCUCACUGGGACUGAGACACGGCCCAGACUCCUACGGGAGGCAGCAGUGGGGAAUAUUGGACAAUGGGCGCAAGCCUGAUCCAGCCAUGCCGCGUGGGUGAUGAAGGCCCUAGGG
rnacentral:rRNA from 1 species